AUGAAACUUCUUUUCCCUUCCAACAAGGCUUUCCCACUCCUAAGACCGUUACACUUGACCCAUCAAGGGGCACAGCUGUAAGGACCAAAACUGUGCACCUUGGCUAAUGUGCGUAACUGCACGAGGUUCACCUCGCUGGAAUAAGAUCGAAUUUUCAGCCCCUUUAGCAGUACAGCAGGGGUGCUGAUCACUAAGGCCCUAACUGUGGCCUGUAAUGUGGGUGAAUUUGGUUGUCUGAGUUCCUGUGUACUGAACAAGGAACCCACCCCCCUCCCGGCAACCCUGCCUUCCCCUGUCCUAUUCCUCUUCCUCUCCUUUCUAACAGGGACUGCCCACUCAUCAGACCUUUACACUGAACUCCUGAAGGUGCACAAUUGUAAUGACCCAAACUGUUCACCUUGAUUACUAAUGUGCAUAACUGGGCAUAGCACUGGAAUAAGAUCCUGUUUCCCACCUCUUGCAGUAUAGCAGAGGUAUUGAUCACUAGGGCCCUAAUCUUGGCCUAUUAUAUGGGUCAUUGUGUUUGAGCUCCUGUGUAGUAAUUUUCCCCCCUAGUAGUAAUUUUCUCUCUCAUUUGAAUAAGGUCCAACUUUCAGCCCCUUUUUGCCGUACAGCAAGGUUGGUGAUUAUAAGGCUGUAGUAUUGGCCUGUUGCAUGGAUGAUUGGGCCUGUCUCAGUUUCUGUAUAGUAGGCCCUCUCCCCACCUCUGCUGUGCUCUCCUGUAAUCAACUUCCUUUCCUUUUCAAAAGGGGCUUCCACUCCAUAGGACUCUUACACUUGACCAGUCAAGUUGCAGAACUGUAAGGACCAAACCCAUGCACCUUGAAUAUUCAUGUGCAUGACUAUAUGUGGUUCAUCUCAUUUGAAUGAGAUCCUACUUUCAGCCCCUUUUUGCUAUAUAGCAGGGGUGCUGAUUACUAAGGCCUUUAUUCUUGGCCUCUUAUGUUGGUGAUUAUGUUUUUCGGAGUUUCUAUUUAUUAUGCAGGAACGGUCCUCCCCAACCCUCUCCUGCCUUCUCUCAUCCAACUUCCUUUCCCUCCUAGCAGGGACUGCCCAUUCCGUAAGACCCUUACACUUCGCCGGUGUGCACAGUUGUGAUGACCAAAGUCAUGCACCUGGAAUACCAACUUGCAUGACUGCGCAUAGUUUGUCUCAUUUGCGUAAGAUCUUACUCUCAGCUCGUUGGAAGACAGCAGGGGUACCAAUUGAUUACUAAGCCUGCUGAUCUUAGCCUAUUAUAUGGGUGAUUAUGUUUGUCUGAAUACCUGUGUAUCAGACCUUUCUCCUCAACCCUGCUCUGCCUUCCCCUGCUCCAACUUCCUUUCUCUUCCAGCAGGGACUCUCUACUCCGUAACACCCUUACAGUUGAACAGGCAAGGAGUUCAAUGCCUUGUAAUUGUAAUGAUCAAAACCAUGCACCUUGAAUGCUCGUGUGUAUAGCAGCAGGUAGUACAUCCAUUUGAAUAAGAUCCUACUUUCAGCCUCUUGGUACAACAGGGGUGCUGAUUAUUAAGUGCUCUAAUCUUGGCCUGUUAUAUGGGUGAUUAUUUGUCUGAGUUCCUAUGUACUAAAUAAGGAACCUUCCCCGCCUGCAUCCAACUACCUUUCUCUUCCAGCAAGAACUGCCUGCUCCAUGAGAGCCUAAUAUUGAAUAAUAAAGGUGCACAAUUUUUUUAUCACAACUAUAUAGCUGGAAUACUAAUGUGUGUAACUGCACAUGCUUUGUACCAUUUGAAUAUGGUCCUUCUCAGCCCCUUUUCCGAUACAGCAGGCAUGCUGAUCACUAAGGCCCCUAUUCUCAGCCUGUUAUGUGGCUUAUUGUGUUUGAGUUCCUGUGUGUACUAGACAAGGGCCUCCCCCCAGGUCUCCCCUGCCUUCUUCCAUCCAUCUUCCUUUCCUUUGCAGCCCACUCUGUAAGACUCUAACACUUGCACAGUCAAGGUGCAUAACUGUAAUGACCAGCAUCACAUACCUUAAGCUAUAAUGUAACUUCACAUGGUUCAUCCCAUUUGACUAAGAUGCUACUCUCAGCCCCUUUUACAAUACAACAGGGACGCUGAUCAUUAAGGCUCCUAUUGGUCUGUUAUGUGGGCAUUUGUUUGUUUGAAUUCCUGUGUAUUAGACAAGGAACCCUCUCAACCCCGCCCUGCCCUCUCCCAUCCUUCUUUUCCCUUCUAGAUGGAACUUCCCGCCCCAUAAGACCCUGAUACUUGAACCAUGAAGGUGACCAAUUACAUUGAUCCCAGUCGUGAACCUUCAGUACUACUGUGCAUAACUGCACCCGGUUCAUCCCAUUUGAGUAAAAUGCUACCCUCAGGCAGUUCUUUGGCAAUACAGCAGAGGUGUUGAUCACUAAUGCACCUAUUCUUGGCUUAUGUAGGCCUUUAUACUUGUCCAGCUUGUUGUGUACUAUACAAGGAAACCUCUGCCCUGAUCCUUGUCUUCCAACUUCAGAGAUGAGUACUGCAUAAGAACGUUAUGCUUAAACCAUCAAAGUGCACAAUUAUAAUGACCACAGUUGUACACCUUAGGCAUUAAUGUGUAUAAUUGCACAUGGCUAAUCUCACUGGAACAAGAUCCUUCUUUCCAGACCCCUUUUGCGGUAAAGCUGGGGUUUCUUAAUACAGUUGUCCAUCCUUAUUUGGAAUAUUACACUGAUGAUUAUAUUUGUCUAGGUUUCUGUGUACUAGACAGCAACCCGCCUCCCCCCCUCCCCCCCGCUUCCUUUGCCUUCCAGCAGGGUGAGGACUCCAUAGCACCCUUAGAUUUAAAGAGUCCAGAUGCACAGCUGUAAUGAUUGCAACCAUGCAUUUAGGACAUUAAUAUUCAUAACUGCAUGUGGCUCACUUCAUUUGACUAAGAUCUUACUCUCAACCCCUUUAGCAGUCGAGCAGAAACGCUGAUCCCUAAAGCCUCUUCUUGGCUUCUUCAUGUUCUUAGUUACUAGAUAAGAGUACCCUAUCCACUCCCCCUUUACUUUUCAAAUGAUGAUGCCCACUACUGUAAGAUCUAUAUACUUGUACAAAGUAUGUAGUUUUACUCGUUCACAGCUAUGUCUCUGGGACAGUAAUGUAUAUCAUCAGGACAUAGUUCAUCCUAUUUAACUAGUUACCCUCUUACCCUCCAUUUGCAGCAUACCAAAGUUUCUAAGUCCCCUUUUUGUGACCUGUUACUUGCAGAGUUUCAUCAGGCUGGGUUCUUGUGUGCUAGACAAGAACACCCCAUCUCUAACCUCGGCUUUUUAAUGAGCAGUGGUGCUCGCUGCUUAAGACCUUUACAUUUGGACAGGUACUGUGCAUUAUUGCAGUUGUGCACAGCUCUGUUACUUCUAGGACCAUUGUACCUCCUUUGCACUACUGCAGGGGAUAUAUAUAUAUAUAAUUGAAAUUUUCUGUUGUCUUUGUCAGAGGACUAAGGUCAUACCCCUCACAUUUCAUGUGGCCUGCAGCAGAGUGUUGAUAACCAAAGUCCUGAUUUUGGACUGUUAAUACAUACAAUUGCAUUUAUUCCUGUAUUGUGCACUACUAGAAAAGGAUCCCAACCUGUUUUCUUAGUAUUUUCAGCAGAAAGUUCCCACUACUUAAGACUCUUUCGCUUGGAAACUUCAUGUACACAAACAAAAUUUUCUAAGCAUGUCUAAUAUCAGAACUCCUGUACCCUCUUUGCUUUAAAGCAGAGAGAUGCUUUCACUUAGUAUCCUUUCAUUUGGGCUUCAGUGUGCCUUAUUAAUAUAAUCGCCCCUCCCUUUUGUGGACUAGAAUUUUAUCUCCUUAUAUCCCCUUUGCAUCAGGAGCAUGUUAAUGAUGAGUGAGCCUUCUCAUGUGAGUGGUUACAUGCUUAAUUAUCUUUGUCUGUGGACUUGUGUAGUAAAAAAAGGACAUUAUAUUAUUAUCAGUGCCUCUUGAUCACUGCUGAGGAGUACCAUUUAUAAUGGCUGCUCUUGAACAGUUAGUGUACAAUAACCAAUUACAGUUAUCCCGAGCAAAGAUCAUUAAAUAGGACCCUGCACCCUCUGUAUGCAUCAGAGGUGUUGACCAAGACCCCUUGGAUUGUUAGUGUGAAUAUAGUUACGUAUGCCUAGGAUGCUAUAUCCUCUUACUCCCCCACUGCCUUACUGUAGGAGCUGCUGACCACCCAAAACACCUCUUGAGACUGAUAAUGGGCACAAUGACAAUUAUUAAUGUUUUUUUUUCUCCUAAAUUAUCUUGGGACUGUUAGUAGGUACAAUGGCAGUCAUAAAUGGUUUUUUCUUUCCUGGCCCUGUUAAAUGAUCCUCUCCCGGUUUCCCAUGGCAUUAAUAAAGUGCAAACAUUGCAGUAUGCCAUGUACUUGUGCAUCAAACAAAUCACCCAUACUUCCAUACCUUUUUCAUUGUUUCAGUAUAUAAAAUCCCAAGUAGCCAUGGUCUCACCAUUUAUACAAGGUCUUCUCUCUCUCCUGCCCCUUGUCUGCCUUGCGUCCCUUCUUAGGGACUAUUUAUGCUCAUAAUAUGGCCAUUAGAUAUGACUGUGCUCCCUCUCCCACCCCCUCCCCCUGCCCCGGCCCUUUUACUUCUUUGCUGGGUAAUGUUGACUGGGCAAGGACCUUUCUCUUGGGCUUACCAAGUUUAAUAAUCCCACAUGUCAUUAGUUUACCCGCUUUUACUGCUGUAAUGUCUCAGUUGUACCUUCCUUGGUCCUGCCCAUUAGACAUGGAGUUCUCCACUUCCUUUACGUUGCUCCUGAGUAGUGCCAGUUACUCAAAGCCACUUGUGUGUUACCAAUGAGCACAGUGUACAUUGUCCCAUUUUUUUUUUUUACCCCAUCAGUCCCAGAUGUCCCUAUCACUUUGAUGUGUUGGUGCAGUAUUACUUAUCAAAAGCAGGCCUGAAUUAGAUGGGUGAGCCUUCACUCUUUUUCUUCCAUUCAUUAAUAAUCUCAGUUCCAAUUAUUGGCAUAUUCUGGGGACAAGAACCUUGCCGCCUCGGUUGCUGUUUAAUUGUGGAAAAUAUGCAAGGCAAGCGAGAGUCAAAGAGCUGGAUUGCCACCUUUGAGUUGGGGCUUUCAGUAUACAGUAUCAACUGAAAAACUUUCUCCCCCAGGAGGAAAGUUAGUGCUUUAUCUGCAGUUUUCCUCUCAGAGCAUAUUACCUGGCUAAGAAUCUCACAUCUUGUCCUUUGUAUGUUACUGUUGUAUGGUGCCAGUGGCCAGGUUACAAACAGAAAAAUUGCUCUUGUUAUUUUAUUUUUAAAGAAAGACAUUUGGAAUGAAAGUGGAAUUGAUCACCUCGUCACUAGCUUUUACUGAAGCAAAAAAAAAAAAAAAAAAUCCAUUUAUAUUAUAUACUUGGUGACCAGUUUCUCAUUUUACUGGGCUAGAUCACCAUGAGUCUUACUGUCUCAGUACCGUAUUACCGAAGGAAUUCUAGAGUGGAACUCUUAGCACCAGAAUCUUUGUUGGGCCUGUACUACAAUGUAAGAGCCAAUUUAUCUUUGGGUUUUACCGUGUUUUGCUUUUAGGAAAAUUACCUAAAUGUUUCAUCCUUAAAUUCUUCACCUUAAGCACUAGCCUUUUCUUAAUUCAAGAAGAUUGCUAUAAAUGGAUUAAAUGAGAGAACAUACGCUGAGGUGCUUUUGAAAACCAUAGGCCACCUUAUUUGAUUAGUCUGUUAUAUAAAGUGUGCCAUUAAAUUCUGCUAAUAAUUUGAAGUGGUUUGAAGAACCACCGUAAAGAUUUACUCUUAAAUGAUGGGACCUGUUUCCCCAUUUUAAGAAAAAUAAGUCAAGAUCUAAUCAUUCUUCUAACCAUAAACUUUUAGUAAGUGUAGUAGAUGCUUAAUAAAAAAAAAAAAAUCCCAUGCUCUAAGUGUAUGAGGCAGUGAUGGCAAACUUAUGGCACACUUGAUGCAGUCGGCUGUCUGUUGUCAUUGAAAGCUUUAAAAGGUUCGUUUUCGCUGCUAUAAGGUGUUCGGUGGUAACUCAAUAUUUAGUGUGAAAUAGCUGAAUCGAAUAACUAGUCGUCCCAACAGCCAUUCAUUGUGGUCAUUGAGAAGGGAUACUAUUCCUCAAGAAGGACGUCAAAAGAUCUGCCCAGCUCGGGAUGCCGUUUGCAUUACUAGCUCCUUGGACAGCUGUAAGAAGAGUUGCUGGCUUUUUAGAAUACUGAUGAAUUUGAAGCUGGCCUCUGCACCCUGACUCAAGACGAAGAUGACUCGAUUUUAGGUGGAUUGAUGACUGCAAGACAGUAUCCAAAGAUCUUUGGGAGAACAGGCUUGUUGCUUUACGGUGCUAGUGACCUAUUCCCUUUGAGGAUCCCUAGGUGGAGAUGGGGCAUGAGGAUCCUCCAGGGGAAAAGCUCACUAUCACUGGGCAACAACCUUAGGUCUAGAGGUUUUACGAACUUUCCUGGACCCAAAUGGAAAGCUGAAGACUCAAAGACAACCAGCAUGCAUCGAUAGGACAGCAUGGACAGCAACUGCUGCAUCAAUAUUGAUUUCAUGAGCAAGUAAUUGUGUUUUACCUGGUCCUCAGUUUCCCUGGAAGCCCUCCCUACAGAAGAACUUCCAGUCAUUUAUAUACUUCAGGUGCCUUGUGAUGUCCAUUAGAUAUAACCUACAAUAAGCUGUUUGAGAAGAGAAAUGAGAGAAUUGUGUCUUUUUAUGUUAUGCUUCUGAUUGAUGGAAGCUUCAUUACUACAGAUGGAAACCUAGCCAAACGUGGCUCACAGUUAUCAUCAGCUCCUGUUUGUUUCCUUCAUAUCUUUUGAAUCAUUGUCCUUUCGAAAAGCAAUGCAAGUGAUGGGUCUUCAGCAGGACCAAGAAAUGUAAACAUGCCAAAGGAAGUCAUCUUUCCUAUCUGAAGAUGAACAUGCUUAGUACUAUAACAUCUGAGAAUAGCAGAAUGCAUCAUAAAUGUGUAUUUGUCUGCUUGUCUAUGUCUUCCUUGAAUAGCUUUGUGCUUCUCUACCUUGAGUGUGUCUUCUUGCCCAUUUUCCGUGUUUGUCUUGUUAAUUUCCUCUGUGUGCCUUUUGCUCAUUUUCUAUUUUUGUUCCUAAGUGUGGUCUGUGCCUUGUCUUCGAUGUAUGUAUCUCUCCUUUUUUCUCAUUUUGUUUCUCUUUGCUCUCCUGGAUCUUGCUUUUCUUUCACUUAUUCCUGUAUGUCUCCUCUUUGGUCAUAUGUUGUGUGUUUCUCUUGCACUUUUCUUAUUGUGCCUACCUUGCUUUUUCUCUUUGUGACUUGUGAUUGUCACCCUUUCCUCUUUUUGUGGUUUGACAUUUCAGCUUUUUCUGAUUCUGGCCUCUUUUCUGCUAUGUCUCUUCCCUAUCUCACGUUUUUCUUUUCUGCAUUUCCUUUCUACCUUUCUUGUUCCUCCUUUGUGUAUCUCAAUGUUUCAGCUGCUUGUGACUUUCUAUUCUAGCAUUCUUGUCUCUGAUUGCUUACGCUACUUUUCUGCUUUGUCCUUUGCCCUUUUCUACUCACCUCUGAAUAUUUCAGCCUCUUCAUGAGUCUAUGUCUGCUCUUUGCUUUCCUGGAAUCCUCUCUUGGAUAUUUCCUUGUUUUUAUGGCCAUAUGUGCACGUAUGUGUGUACUGUGUGUGACAGGGGCUCCCUAACCCCUUUCUAAUAGAUGCAGGAUGUCGGCUAUCAAAACAAGCAUUGCACAGCUGUUCCUCAUGCGAGGCUGUCCUGUGAAGAUGAUCUUGCACUAAAAUAUGUCCCUGGGAUCAGUACUGAAGCAAAACCCAAGGCCUAAGAGGAGCAGAAGGAAGAAGGCCCCAAAUGAGAGACAGAUGGUUUGAAACUGGAGACACAACCUGAAAAGUCCAUGUCCCAAGAUAGGUGGAAGUCUAAGGCCUGAGACCAUGAGAAAUCUCAAGAGCCACGAUAUAUAGAAGAUGGCCUCAGCUGGAUGGAAGGUUCAAGUCUUGAGUUAGAAGGCCAGAGAUCUACGAUAAGAAGGGCUGUUUCUACAGGACACAAGGAACGCUUAAGAAUUUGGACCUAACAUAAGGCUGAAGGACUGAAUAAGCCCAAUGGCAUAGUUUUAAGACCUAAAAACCAGGAUAGAAAACUCCAGACACAAGACCCAGAAAUCAAGCCUCGCUAUGUGGACAGAAGGGCUAAGAAAAACAUCUCAAGGCUGUACCUGGAAACUGGAGGACCGUGACUGAGAACUCAGGAAGUAGAAACCCUAAGACCAGGGAAAGACCAAGAUGAGAACUGUAAAUCCAAGCACUUUCCUAUUGUUAUACCUCUUACUCUUGGACAGUUUUCGUUCUCCCCUUCCAGUUCUCUUAUUUUCAUUUAAUCUUGCUUCUUUUGAGAUGCGGUUUUUGUUGUUGCCAUGUACCGUAAAGAAACAUGUCUUUAGAUUAACAAUAUUAUGGAUGGACCAAUGUUGAGCCCAUUUUUAAUCACAGGUUUUAGCCAUUCAUUAAGGUUUUAGUGUUUUAUAGACUUUGUUUCUCUUCAUGUAUAUUCAAUUUGAGAGGGACACCAAAAUCCAGUUGCUGUCUAUUCAGGCUUUUGCUACUUCGCUCAAAAAAGCAAGCUCCCAUUUAGAUAUUUUUCAUUGUUUCCUAUCCCAGAAGCCCUAGCUGAUGAAAAAGUAAAGCAUCAGGUUGGAAAAAAAAUGCCAGGCUAUCUAGAGAUAACGUGAAGAGCUACUCCAGGAUAUUAAGAAUAAUUAGACAAGAAGCAGACAGAUGUGCCAGCCUUCUGACAAGCACCAGCCUGCCUCACCAUCCUUCUUUGAGCUUAGGUGAGCAGGACUCCUGUAGUUCCUAGUAAUGAUUACUGAAAGGAUGAUUGGGCCUGGCACAGAGUGAGGUCUGGACUCCCUGCUCAUAGUAGUGGCCGUAUAAUUUGAGGCAUUGUGCCAAACCUACUCCAGGGUUUCACACCCAUCUCUAGACUUGACGAUGAGAGAACCUGGGACUGUUGGGUAACAGGUUUAAUCUUUUCCUUGAUUCUUCCACCAUUUUUAUGUAAGAAGUUGAUUUAAGUGAUGAAUAUGUAUGAAAGCAACAUAAAUAACAAGAGAAAAAAUAUGGUGUGCUCAUUAAUACAGUAUUGGCAAUAAGGCACAGCUAAUAUUUGAAAGUACAAUGUAACCUGUGAAACAUUAUCAGGGAUCAUGACAUUUUUUUCUGUAAGGGGUCAGAUUGUAAAUACUUUAGAUUUUGCAGGUCUUAUGGUCUCUGUUGCGUAGUCUUAAGCUUUUAAAGAGAUGAGAGCCAUUCAGUUUGUGAGCUAAGUGGGCUUGGCCUGCUACCUAUAGUUUAAGAAUCCCUGGUAUAAAUGCCAGAGAAUCUUUUCAAAUAAUAUCGAUUUCCUUCUUUGUGCCUAUCCCUGUUCAGGCACUAGGAUGCAGUGACUCUUUGUGAUCAGAUCCAGGUGACCUGAAGAAAAAAUAUAUAAAUGUGCUUUAUACAUUAUAAAACACUUAAAAACUUGUGAAUUUCAGUGUUGAUAAAUGUAUUUAACUACUUAUAAUACAUUCUACUGUAUUAUACUCUAUAGAUAUGAAGAUUAAAAGAAGCAUAAAUAAAAAUGCUUUGUCAAAAGAAUAUAAUGCUAUGUAGACAUAAUAAGUGUCCAGUAAAUGAAUAAUUUGUAUAUUUAAAAAAAAAUUUGUAUAUUCGAGGCCAGUGUAUUUCUAACACACUGGUUAUUCGAGAUAACAAAAUAAAACAUAUGAAAACUGCCUUUAGACUGGAAAAUAUACUGCAAAUACAAGGCAUUUUAAGCCAUUGUGUUCACCUCUAAUGUGACAAAAAUAUCAUGCUAGGCAAUAGAAAUACCAAGGGACAAAGGUAUUCUCUUGGAAGAAAAAGUUUCCGAAAGGAAGUGCAUAUUAAAGUACAUAGUAAAUUAAAGCACUGUAGAAAUGAGUUCCUUACUUGUUUAUGAAUGAAUAUUAACUGCCUCUUAACACAUACCAGGUGUUGUUUGGAUACAUGAAAUCCAAGAGAAAUUCUACCAAGUAUUUCUCCCACGUAAUAAGAGGAAACCUUAUGCUGUAUAUUAUUUGGAUAUAAGGAAGGAGAGCACACUGAGUUUAAUCAGUUGGAAUUUACUGGUGAAGUCAAGUUAAAUUGAUAACCAGUAUAUUUUCUCUGGUGACAGAGAAAAGAUAAAGGAAUAUGAGUGUGCUCUGUAUACUGUAAUGUGCUAUAAAAGACAUUGAACGUUUCUAUGUGACUUAAAUCUUCCUGCAAAUAGGCAUUUUUUUCUAUAAGAUUCUCAUUGUAUGCUGGACCCGCAAUGAGAAGGAUACUAUAAAUAGUUAAACCAGCCAGGUGUGGUGUGUAUGUCUAGUUCCAGCACUUGAGAGGUUGAGCCAGGAUCACUUGAGGCCAGCCUGGAAAACAUAGCAAGACUGCAACUAAGAAUAAGCAAUACAUGUGUCCUAAUGUUCUGUGAACUUUAAAGCACCACAUAAAUGGAACUAUUGACUGUCUUUUUUGGUGCUAAAUGCUAGGUUUCUGAAAUUGUCACAGCUAUUAUAGGAUGCAAAUAAAGCUAAAAUGUUUAAGAAUUGUUAGCUGUUGAACAUUCAGUGUUAAUAUGUAAGGUAUUCAAUGAUGAAUACAAGCAUGGACGGUAACUGUCCAUUAUGUGCCAGUGUCCCUGACACGCACUGAGAAUGCAAAGAUCAAUUAUCUAUUGUAUCCUGGGAAGCAAUAGAAAUGAUGUAUAAAAUCAGUACUUUGUACACUGCCAUUCAUUUAUAAACAAUACCUGGGGAAUAACAGGGAUUAUUUACUAUUAUCCCCAGAGAUACAAGUAGGGGCACUAAAAUUGAUUUUUAUUAUUGAACCUGCAACACAGAUCUGUGUGUGAAUUUAUAAAGCCUAUACAAUUUGGAAUUAACUGUUGAUUUAAUCAGUGAGCAUGAAUGCUUUCUAUGAGGUUCAGAAUUACAUACCUUUGUAUGUAAAAAUUACUAUUACAGAGUGCUCACAGAGAAGAAAUCAAGUAGUAGGUGUGAGAUCCACACCAAAAGUCCACUUAACCACUCCUUCCCUUAUUCAGUGAUGAAGUCAGGAAGGAAGUGGAUUUGUGUAAGGCAGUGUAAUAAAUGCUGAGCUAAGUGGACGAAUAAAAUCAUUUCUAGAAGUUUCUUUCCCAUCUGGCUUGAUUGGGAAAGUGGUAGUUUGUUUUUAAAAAAUCAAAGUGCUAUGAUUUUCCGUUCAGUUUCUUAAAUAUUGAGUGCUGGUAAUGAAGGUGAAUUGAAACCACCCUGGCCUGGCCUAGUUGUGAAGUGAAAAUAAAGGGCUCCAUUGUUGUAAUUCAUCUGAUAAACAAAACAUUGUUUAUGUGGAACAUGCCUUGUAGGUCCUAACUAUAAAUGAGGUGAAAUGGACCUAAUGAAAGGGAAUAAGACCACUGAUCACAGCUGAAGACAGAAAACACCUUGAAUUUGAUUAUUGAGUAGAUAAUAUUUGACUAUCUACUUCAAGGUUGCUUGGUAAGUUUGUUAAGUUGGUCUGUACCAGAAGACCAUUGACUUGACUUGGAUAUGGGAAAAAAAAAAGGCGAUAUUCAUUCAGUCCUGAAUGGAGACACUCAUCAUAGCUCCAGAAAGCCACAAGAGGCACUCACUCAUUGUCCUAAAGUUAAAAAGUUUGAGGAGAACCAAGAUGAAAUGACUGGUUGUAGAAAACCUUUGCUCAUUCCCUGACUCGGAGUCAGGACAACACUUGAGCAGUACAAAAAUGUUUUGAGAUUUAUUAUAGUAAAAAUUUUAUUAAAUCUUAAAGUGCUGUCACUAAGUGCUGAGGAGAAUGAACAAAUUUGAAAACCAAAACCAAAAUGCACUUUAUCUCUGUAGCUUAAUGAUGGAAAUAUAACAAUGAAAAAUCACAGUUCUUUCUUAGUUGAAAAAAUAUUAAACAGCUGUAAUAUGUAAGACACUGAAGUGGUAUGAUGACAUAACACCACCUCGUUGGCAUGUUUGGUAGGAUGGGAGUAAGAGGAGUUUCUAUUUUUUCAUUCAUACAAGUAUUGCUAAGAUGAUGCUAAAUACUAAAUGAAAUCUAUGCCAAAAGCCACCUUGUCUGACUUGGAGAGGGACUAAAAAAGCACCAUCUAUAAUGUCGAGCCAUUGUGUUUUUCCUGGACAGAAAACAAAAAAGAUCUUGACUGCCACUUAUUGGCUCAGAGAUUAAGACUACAGGAUGAAAGAGACCAUUGAUCCAUUUCUUGAUCCAUUUUACAAGUACAUUUAGAUACCUAUUGAAUAUAGGGUUGUUACGUCCUCAACUGGCCCCAGAGAUGGAAGAAAAAUUCAUGCCUUCCCAGAGAACUUCUAAAACUUUCGGUGGUGUUUUCUGGUUAUGGCUACAGCUUGGUCCCUAAAUAAUGCUGUGUAGUUUAAUUCCUAGUUAUUUCUCUUCCACCACUCUGGCCACUACGAUGAGCAGGUAGCUGAUUUUUGAGGAACUUGUUCCUUAAGUCGCUGGAACCCUCCAUAUAGUAGACAAUUUUUCCUAGCCUUCACCCCAUGUUAAAAUUACUGACCGGUGAUGGCAGGAGGAAUGACAGCGAACUAGUUUCCAAACCCCAUUGUCUUUGGAAUCCGCUCAUUCUUGAGCUUGGUUUGAAAUGCAUUUACAAGUUUUAUCUACUUUCAGUUCUUUAUAUGCUGGUGCAUAUACACUACCUCAGUAGCUCUUUCCCAGAAGCAAUCCUCAGAUAGCUCAUAAGUAGAUUUGAGAUGGAGGCAUGACCUCUUUUGCAACAGCUUCUCAAUUUAUACUUUAGAAAUGUUGCCAUCAAAAUACUCUCGAGGGCUUGUUAUGGUAAAAGAGUAUUAGUGGUUGAAAAGAGCUGAAACAUUUACCAAGCUUGCUUAAAAUUUAUGUAUAGUAGAAUAAAAAUUGGAAAUAAGUGACAAAAACUGGAGGAAAAAUGCCCUCUAAGUGCAUGCUUGACUUGAGCUUUGAUCUUUUCUAGUUUACAAUCACUCACAGAGGGUGGGACAGGAGGAAGAGUGAAGGAAAAGGUCAAACCUCUGUCAGAGGGCGAACUUCCUUUGUUCCGGAUUGGUGUUAAGAGUAUUACUGGCGCAAGAUCUAAAUUGGGGUUGCUUUUUAAAAUUGAGUGCAGUUCAAAAACUGAUCACUGUUGAGAUGAGGUACUGAUUUGUUACCAGCUUCUGAGAAAUAAUUAUUUUUGUCCAAAUGGUUGCCACCGAAACCUUGUGUUAGAUGAGAAUAGGCUGACUUGAAUCAGUGUGACCCUUAUAAGGUAGUCUUAAAACAGGAGUCAGAAUUUUAGUGCAAAAUAAGAGGACCUUAUUGUUCAUUGUCGGUCAUUGGUACUUGGAAAGCAUCUAAAUUGCAGUUUGCAUGGCAAGCCAAGAACGGCAUCCGUAAAUGGAGAAGAAAAUAGAUAAAUGGCAAAGGGUAACUGGUGGUACGAGCAAAGUUGAAGACAGUCUGGGGUGAAAUGUUCUAGUUUUUGCAUUGUACACUUUUAGUUAAGUAUCAGAGCUGAAAUAUUAAAAAUGUUUCACUUUUAAAGUGCGUUCCCAGCUGGGCCUGGGCACUCUCCUUUCUUUAACUGGGGUGGUGGUUUCCUGACUGACUGGAGAAUAUAAAUGAGAAAGUAACUGAAAGCUUUCCUUUCAACAAUUUCUGCCACUACUGAUUAAACAAGAAUGGGAGAGAUUGUGCGCCCAUCACCUGCUUUUGUCAUGUUAAUGAAAUUGUGAUGGACAAAUCUGUUUAAAGGAAAUUAGUUUAUCUCUAGCUUUCUACCUCAAAGGGAAUCUGCAUCAAAAUGCUACAGUGGAAGACACUUUGGACUUAUGAACUGAUGUAUAACGUUGAGUAUUGAGUGUUUGCAAGCUUCAAAAAUCUUGCUCAGCAUCAAUGAUCACCAAAAGGGAAUGUAAAGCCAUCUACUUAUCACAAUUGAGACAAAUUUGGGAGUUUGUUGACCACUGUAAAAUAAAAUGUUUUUUUUGAGAA